CUGCAGUCCUGAGCCUGUGAUCCAUCCACACAGCUGCACCAGCAGUGAGAUCCGUGCAACAAGGCACACCAGCAGUAAAACACAGCACACAUCCAGUUUGCAAACUUAUGUUGGUUCUCUCCAGGGCCUGGAGGAACUAGUAGCCCCGACCUUCAGAAACAAUUGCUGCCGUAAGGCGUAACCGCCUAACAUCUGAGGCCACAGAGCAGGAAAUCGACUCAACGAUGAUGGUUACAUCUGGCUCCAGACAGAGAUGGUGGCAGAAUGGAGAGGAUGAAGCAAAAGCAGAGAAUGGAUGGCACAACAGGUUAAAGUCCUGGUUCGUAGACUCCCAUAUUGUUCUGAAAUGUACAGAAUCCUGGUCCAUGCACGGUGCGUCCUGGUUCAUGGGCUCAGUGUUAAAAAAUG